GUUUAUUUUAAUUAUUGUAAUUUCAAACAGAUUAUCACAGCACUUUUCUGAUCCUUGAUUCCUGUGCAUUUGCUGAAGAGCUUUUGUGGGGGAGCAGGACCUGCAAGGAAAGGAUCUGAAAUGUCCGCAGACUGGUGUGAGCUGUGAGGAUGGAGGAGUCCACAGCAGCAUCCUGGAAAUGGUCCAGUGCCGCGGAUGAGAUGCUCCAUCACUCCACCUCUUACUGUCUCAUCAGGACCGGAUGUUGCUGUGGUCUCUUUAUCAUCAGUGACCCCAGAGCCAGC